rnacentral:rRNA from 1 species
GACGAACGCUGGCGGCGUGCUUAACACAUGCAAGUCGAACGGAAAGGCCCUGCUUGCAGGGUGCUCGAGUGGCGAACGGGUGAGUAACACGUGGGUGAUCUGCCCCUUACUUUGGGAUAAGCCUGGGAAACUGGGUCUAAUACUGGAUAGGACCAUGCUGUAGGUGGUGUGGUGGAAAGAUUAGUUUCGGUAAGGGAUGAGCUCGCGGCCUAUCAGCUUGUUGGUGGGGUAAUGGCCUACCAAGGCGUCGACGGGUAGCCGGCCUGAGAGGGUGGACGGCCACAUUGGGACUGCGAUACGGCGCAGACUCCUACGGGAGGCAGCAGUGGGGAAUAUUGCACAAUGGGCGCAAGCCUGAUGCAGCGACGCCGCGUGGGGGAUGACGGCCUUCGGGUUGUAAACUCCUUUCAGCCAUGACGAAGCCCUUGUGGUGACGGUAGUGGUAGAAGAAGCACCGGCUAACUACGUG